rnacentral:rRNA from 1 species
UACGGAGGGGGCUAGCGUUGUUCGGAAUUACUGGGCGUAAAGGGCGCGUAGGCGGUUUACCAAGUCAGGCGUGAAAGGCCUGGGCUCAACCCGGGAACUGCGCUUGAUACUUGUAGACUUGAGUCCGGGAGAGGAUGGCGGAAUUCCCAGUGUAGAGGUGAAAUUCGUAGAUAUUGGGAAGAACACCGGUGGCGAAGGCGGCUCUCUGGUCCAUGUCUGACGCUGAGGUACGAAAGCCAGGGGAGCAAACGGG